rnacentral:rRNA from 1 species
GAUGAACGCUGGCGACGUGCCUAAUACAUGCAAGUCGAGCGAACAGACGAGGAGCUUGCUCCUCUGACGUUAGCGGCGGACGGGUGAGUAACACGUGGAUAACCUACCUAUAAGACUGGGAUAACUUCGGGAAACCGGCGCUAAUACCGGAUAAUAUAUUGAACCGCAUGGUUCAAUAGUGAAAGACGGUUUUGCUGUCACUUAUAGAUGGAUCCGCGCCGCAUUAGCUAGUUGGUAAGGUAACGGCUUACCAAGGCAACGAUGCGUAGCCGACCUGAGAGGGUGAUCGGCCACACUGGAACUGAGACACGGUCCAGACUCCUACGGGAGGCAGCAGUAGGGAAUCUUCCGCAAUGGGCGAAAGCCUGACGGAGCAACGCCGCGUGAGUGAUGAAGGUCUUCGGAUCGUAAAACUCUGUUAUUAGGGAAGAACAAAUGUGUAAGUAACUAUGCACGUCUUGACGGUACCUAAUCAGAAAGCCACGGCUAACUACGUG